rnacentral:lncRNA from 1 species
CUCCCAGAUGGUCUAUAGUUCUAUAGUAGGAACAGCAGUCUCGAACAAACGAACGUUGCCUACCACUGUGAACCAGGAGUCAGGGCUUCUAAUCACAAGGUUAGCAUCUCCACUGCCAUCAAUCACAUUGCUGUCGAAAUUAACUUGGAGGAAGAUCGAGGUUGGAGGCUUCUAAGAAAUAAAAACCCUCUGAAGCACUAUUAAAGCAGAAUGAGAAUCCCAGAUAUCCC